rnacentral:ncRNA from 2 species
GAAUUAAUCACGAGUUAAGGUGCCCCGAGUGUAGAACAAGGGGAGAAUAGGGAAUCACGUGUGAAUCGUGGACUGUCGCGCAACUGUAGAUCACCGCGAAAAGUUUCGAUAAGUAAAUCCACUUUUUCAAUCAAAUGAAAUGGGAAGGAUAUCGGAAUGGUGAAAGUCAGGAUACCUGCCUUGCCUCGUCAUUGGCA